AUAGGUUAAUGAGGCGAACCGGGGGAACUGAAACAUCUAAGUACCCCGAGGAAAAGAAAUCAACCGAGAUUCCCCCAGUAGCGGCGAGCGAACGGGGAGGAGCCCAGAGCCUGAAUCAGUGUGUGUGUUAGUGGAAGCGUCUGGAAAGGCGCGCGAUACAGGGUGACAGCCCCGUACACAAAAAUGCACAUAUUGUGAGCUCGAUGAGUAGGGCGGGACACGUGGUAUCCUGUCUGAAUAUGGGGGGACCAUCCUCCAAGGCUAAAUACUCCUGACUGACCGAUAGUGAACCAGUACCGUGAGGGAAAGGCGAAAAGAACCCCGGCGAGGGGAGUGAAAAAGAACCUGAAACCGUGUACGUACAAGCAGUGGGAGCCUCUUAAUGGGGUGACUGCGUACCUUUUGUAUAAUGGGUCAGCGACUUAUAUUCUGUAGCAAGGUUAACCGAAUAGGGGAGCCGAAGGGAAACCGAGUCUUAACUGGGCGUUAAGUUGCAGGGUAUAGACCCGAAACCCGGUGAUCUAGCCAUGGGCAGGUUGAAGGUUGGGUAACACUAACUGGAGGACCGAACCGACUAAUGUUGAAAAAUUAGCGGAUGACUUGUGGCUGGGGGUGAAAGGCCAAUCAAACCGGGAGAUAGCUGGUUCUCCCCGAAAGCUAUUUAGGUAGCGCCUCGUGAAUUCAUCUCCGGGGGUAGAGCACUGUUUCGGCAAGGGGGUCAUCCCGACUUACCAACCCGAUGCAAACUGCGAAUACCGGAGAAUGUUAUCACGGGAGACACACGGCGGGUGCUAACGUCCGUCGUGAAGAGGGAAACAACCCAGACCGCCAGCUAAGGUCCCAAAGUCAUGGUUAAGUGGGAAACGAUGUGGGAAGGCCCAGACAGCCAGGAUGUUGGCUUAGAAGCAGCCAUCAUUUAAAGAAAGCGUAAUAGCUCACUGGUCGAGUCGGCCUGCGCGGAAGAUGUAACGGGGCUAAACCAUGCACCGAAGCUGCGGCAGCGACGCUUAUGCGUUGUUGGGUAGGGGAGCG
rnacentral:rRNA from 1 species